GGGCAGAGCAGCUCAGGCCACCUGGGCCUCCUCUUCACUGGCCCCAGAGAAUUGGCACCAACAAAUCCUGUGAUCUCUAACCAGAAACUGACUCAGCCCAGGAAGACUGUUUUGCACACUCCUAAGAUUUCCUCUCCAACCAAUCAGCUGCACCAAUUACCUAGCCCCUUCCUCCCCAUAUUAUCCUCAAAAACUCUAGUCUCCAGGUUUUUGGGAAACGGAUUUGAGAAUUAACUUUCCCCUCUCCCACUUGUUUGACCUGGUUAACCCUGGGAUUAUUAAACUCUUUCUUUGCUGCAAAACCCCGCUGUUUUCAAUGCACUGGCUCUUUUGGGCAGAGGCGAGAUGAAUCUGGGUGACAGACCUAGCUUCCCACGCCUUGCGCCCCAGGUAUUGUCCUUGUGAAAGUCUCUGGAAACGAGUACAAGGUUGACUCUUUCUGGAGUGAAUGGAGACUAGAAAAUGAAACGAUUUCUAUUUUGUUGUGUGGGGCAUCAGCAUGGAAUUACACCAUCACCCCACGCAGUUUCCCUUUCACAUUCCGGUUUAUACUCCUGUAACAGACAAUUCUAGGGCUUUUAAAUUAAAUUGCUGAGCUUAAUUUCGAUAGCAGGAAUUUUCCUGGAUCCAAUCACCAACAGUUUGCUCUGUCCCAGGGAGAUCCUGCCGAGUUGCUUCAUCCUCACUGGUAAAUGUCUCUCCCUAAACCAGUAAAAUAGAGACGCCCAGCGAGCCAGAAGAGGAAAGCACAGGUCCCGCCUCUCCGCUGUGCCCCCGCCCCCUCCCUUCCACUCUUCACACUCUGUAUCUUGCUGGCUGGACCUGCCCAUCCCUGGUUUCCACCGUGUGCGCGCAGUUUCCUGCAGACCCGGAAGCAGUUCACCGGAAUGGAAGUUGCUCCUCCACAACAUCAUCUUGGAGGGAAUGACCAAGGAAAUUUAAGAAGAAAGAGCAAGAUGGGAAACAAGAAUUUUCUUUUUUUUUUUUUUUUUUUUUUUUUUGAGACCGGAGUCUCGCUCUGUCACCCGGGCUGGAGUGCAGUGGCCGGAUCUCAGCUCACUGCAAGCUCCGCCUCCCAGGUUUACGCCAUUCUCCUGCCUCAGCCUCCCGAGUAGCUGGGACUACAGGCGCCGCCACCUCUUUAAGAAGAAAGAGCAAGAUGGGAAACAAGAAUUUUCAAUUAAAGAGGUAAAAGUCAUUCUGGAGCAAGUGAUUCAAUUUCUAUGUAAAUAUAUGGUUUUGAACAAAUUUCUUAGUCUUUAUUUCUAACUUGAUUGCGCUAUGGUCGAAGAGAUUGUUAUGAUUUCAGUUCUUUUGCAUUUGCUGAGGAGUGUUUUACUUUCAAUUAUGUGAUCUAUUUAAGAGUGUGUGCCGGCCCAGUGCAGUGGCUCACGCCUGUAAUCCCAGCACUUUGGGAAGCUGAGGCGGGUGAAUGAUGAGGUCAGGAGUUUAAGAGCAGCUUGGCCAAGAUGGUGAAACCCCAUCUCUACUAAAAAUACAAAAUUAGCUGGGCGUGAUGUUGGGCGCCUGUAAUCCCAGCUACUUUGGAGGCUGAGGCAGAGAAUUGCUUGUACCCAGGAGGCAGAGGUUGCAGUGAGCCGAGAUCAUGCCACUGCACUCCAACCUGGGGGACAUAGUGAGACUCCAUGUCAAAAAAAAAAAAAAAAAAAAAAGCAUGUGUGCCAGGUGACAAUGGGGAGAAUGUAUAUUCUAUUGUUUUUGAGUAGAGAGUUCCGUAGAUGUCUGUCAGGUCCGUUUGAUCCAGUGCUGAGUUCAGGUCCUGAAUAUUUUUGUUAAUUUUCUGUCUCAAUGAUCUGUCUGAUAUUGCCAGUGGGGUGUUAAAGUCUCCCACUAUUAUUAUGUGGGAGUCUAAGUCUCUUUGAAAGUCUCUAAGAACCUGCAUUUUGGGCAAGUUCUUGCUUUAGGAAUACAGGGUGCUCCUGUGUUGUGUACAUAUAUAUUUAGGAUAGUUAGCUCUUCUUGUCAAAUUG
rnacentral:lncRNA from 10 species